AACAGAAUAGGUUAUUAUUAUCUUCUGGAUAUACAACUCCUUAGGCAGAUUUUAAAAAAUAUAAGCCUUUAUACAAAUAUAUACAAGAUACAUAUAUGUAAGUAUGUAUAAAAUUUUCCAGAUUUCCCUUGAUAAAGAGAUUUCUAACUUGGGCUUGUCAGGGUCUUCCUUUCACCCACAUUCUGAGAAGGAUCCUGACUUGGCAUGACAGCUAUUUUGAGUUUUGUAAUGAGGAAUUGAGAAGAAAAGGUGAGAAGAAUGAGCCAUGGGAGCUGGAGCUGAAAUUAGAGUAUCUGAGGAGAGAUGACGUGAUUAUGACACGGAAGCAAUUUUGGUUUUAAAAUAAAAUUUCCUUCCAUCUUUUUUCUCUCUCCUUCAAAGCAUCUAUGAGUAUGAGAAAGAGUCCUUUCAAAGUUACUUUAGUUGCUGGACU
rnacentral:lncRNA from 1 species